UAUUUACAAAGACUUAAGGACUAAGGAAUUUCUGAUGGGUGGCAUGUCCUAUCUCUCCAAACUUAGAAAUGAAAUUUAAUCUAUAACAGUUAGAUAAAUAAUUGGAGGCUGCGAGCGAUUUUACUUAAUAUUCUUGAAGGAUUUCAAAUACAUAUCAGAGAUUCCUAUUCCUGAUUCCCCGCGCUUCUUAUUCGGACCCGACAAUUUAGGCACAUUAUUUUCGCCCAAAAAAAUCAAUUGCCAUGUUUUUUUGAAAAUAUCCUCGGAGUUUGACUCAUCUCCUUUUUUUUCUUGUCUUCUACAAUUCCCUCCCUUGUCAAACUAAAGCUAAAGCUUUUGUUCAAUAGUAUGUUUGAUUCAUUGAUGAACAAUAUAUUAGUUUGUUAAUCAAAGUAAUUGAUUUUACUUUCUCCGUUUGUUUGUUUGUUUCAGGGGAAUUCUUUUAAUGUUUGUGUCGUAGUUUUGUUUAUCUAUCAGCUGGGGGCUAGAAAUGGAUUCUUGUCCUGAUCUUUAUCCUUUAACAAGUUUGCAGAUUAGGGAUAUAAAGGCACAUCUUUCACAGGCAUUCUUAUAUUUUGCCCCUAUUAGCCAUAAGUUUUUUAUCCUGGUUGAUAAUCAAUCGUGGCAGAAAAACAAGCAUUCAAGAUCAACCCACAUAAGGGAAUUAAUGAUCACGAAGUACAGGAGGUCACCUUUUAAGAACACAAAAGGUUUGCCAAAAUCUCCAAGUUUCUGCUUGGAUUCAUUUAGCCAUGAAAGGAAGAACUUGUUUAAGUGGUUGCGCAUCAUUAACAUGGCUACUUGGAGAGAGAAAUCACCUUUCUCCAUGAUGAAUUUGUACAAGGCCUUGCACGGUUUUCUUGUUUUCGAAGUAGCGUGGAAAAAUGUUCAAGGAAUCAACUAUUUAAAUGAGCUUCAGGCAGAUGCAUCCAUGGCUUUAGAAGUGAAGGCUCUGAGAAGGUGGGAAUUCAAUGGCAUUGAGCAAGCUUUGAGCUGUAUUUCAUCUUGGUUCUCAGGCACUUCAUCUGAAACACAAACAUUGAAGAGUAACCUAAUCUUGUUACUCGACAAAGUUCCUUCUAAUUCUUCAUGGGGAAUAACUGUAGCUUCCAAGGAAUUGCUGCUUAAUGAAGCAUCGCAAGCUGAGCUUUUCUCUGAAGAUGUUUUCUUUGAUGUUAGAGACCCUCCUUUUGACACAGAUGAUAUAGCUUGUAUGGAUCAUCAGGUGGAAGAACCAAGUGUUGAAGAAGAUAAUGACAUUGAAAGUGUGGAAUACAAGGACACCCUUUUACUAUUAAGGUUCAACAAUAAAGAUCUUCCAUCUAAAUUGAGACAGAUAAUAACCUCCGACUUGAAGCUUCUCACUUUGCUCGAAUCAGGUCUUCCUACAUGGGUUAUCUUCUUCCAAUCCUAUCCAUUGUUCUGUAAACUUUAUUGUCCCUGGAUGCGACCUCUAUUUCGAACUCUAUAUAUAUUGAUUUCACUUGUAACUGUUAUUAUCGGAUUUUAUGAUCUCUAUAAGAAUGUACCUCUCUUGAAGGCAGCUGCAUCUCACCUUUGUGGACCACUUUUCAAGUGGAUUGAAGCAUGGGAUGUGAAAGCAAGACUCAGAUAUCUAGGGACAAUGUUAUUUCUUCAGAAUUUUGAGAAGGCAAUGAAAUGGUCUUUAGUAGCGACUCGUUCAGUGAAGUUGCUAGUUUCACUUCUCACAAAACCCUUCAUUUAUCCUCUCAAAGAGAUGUUAGACAUUUUAACACCAUUAUGGAACCUUUUUUCUGAAAUGGGUGAGCUAUUCUAUAGUAAUGUUUGGAUUCUGGUGAAGUACUUUUACAGUGUGAUUUUCGGGUUUAUUGAAGUUUUAAUCUCACCGUUGGAGGUUCUCUAUGCAUAUCUAUUGAUUUUAGUCAAAUUGGCCUCUCCAUUCUUUAGCAUGUUGUGGAAAUUAUUUGUUUUUCCUACCCGAGGUUGUCUCCUGUUGGCAAAUUAUGGGUGUUAUCUGUUCUCUGACAUCUAUGAAGUUCUUGUAAAAGUCAUACAUUUUGUUGCAAGCAAUGUGAGUCAACUUACAUAUUUUUCUCGUGUAAAGCCUCAGUCAUCAGAGAACUCAUUUUGGCAAACUCUUUGGAAAGACCUCUUCUCAAAGUAUCUACAACCAACUUAGAGCUACACUUUAUCACCUUUCUAACGUUGGUUCUGUCCCUAGUAAAUGUCCUUGUCGUCGAUUGCUUCAAGUUGAAAGCAACCUUAAGGUUGAUGCCAAAGAAUGUGAACGUUGCAAAUAAGUCUUAGUCAAAAUGUGCAUCACUAUAAUAGAGCAAAGUCUCCUUUUCAUAUUUAUGUUACACUGUAUAGUUGUUUUCAUUUUUUAUUUUUUUUGGUUUUUAAUAUUUUUAGAUGAUAUUUAUAGUGAACUCGUAAAAUUGGACUUAUAGUAGCUAUACUUCUAUUUGUAAAUGGAUUGACCAUUUUUCCUUUUUCCUUCUUCAUCUUUUGGUGAGAUUAAUUACACUGUAAUA